rnacentral:rRNA from 1 species
UACGUAGGGUGCAAGCGUUGUCCGGAAUUAUUGGGCGUAAAGAGCUCGUAGGCGGUCUGUCGCGUCUGCUGUGAAAACUCAGGGCUUAACCCUGAGCUUGCAGUGGGUACGGGCAGACUAGAGUGCGGUAGGGGAGACUGGAACUCCUGGUGUAGCGGUGAAAUGCGCAGAUAUCAGGAGGAACACCGGUGGCGAAGGCGGGUCUCUGGGCCGUAACUGACGCUGAGGAGCGAAAGCAUGGGGAGCGAACAGG